CAAGUCGAGCGAACGGACGAGAAGCUUGCUUCUCUGAUGUUAGCGGCGGACGGGUGAGUAACACGUGGAUAACCUACCUAUAAGACUGGGAUAACUUCGGGAAACCGGAGCUAAUACCGGAUAAUAUUUUGAACCGCAUGGUUCAAAAGUGAAAGACGGUCUUGCUGUCACUUAUAGAUGGAUCCGCGCUGCAUUAGCUAGUUGGUAAGGUAACGGCUUACCAAGGCAACGAUGCAUAGCCGACCUGAGAGGGUGAUCGGCCACACUGGAACUGAGACACGGUCCAGACUCCUACGGGAGGCAGCAGUAGGGAAUCUUCCGCAAUGGGCGAAAGCCUGACGGAGCAACGCCGCGUGAGUGAUGAAGGUCUUCGGAUCGUAAAACUCUGUUAUUAGGGAAGAACAUAUGUGUAAGUAACUGUGCACAUCUUGACGGUACCUAAUCAGAAAGCCACGGCUAACUACGUGCCAGCAGCCGCGGUAAUACGUAGGUGGCAAGCGUUAUCCGGAAUUAUUGGGCGUAAAGCGCGCGUAGGCGGUUUUUUAAGUCUGAUGUGAAAGCCCACGGCUCAACCGUGGAGGGUCAUUGGAAACUGGAAAACUUGAGUGCAGAAGAGGAAAGUGGAAUUCCAUGUGUAGCGGUGAAAUGCGCAGAGAUAUGGAGGAACACCAGUGGCGAAGGCGACUUUCUGGUCUGUAA
rnacentral:rRNA from 1 species